UACGUAGGGUGCGAGCGUUGCCCGGAUUUAUUGGGCGUAAAGGGCGCGUAGGCGGCUCUGCACGUCCGUUGUGAAAUCGCCCGGCUCAACUGGGCGGGGUCAGCGGAUACGGCGGAGCUUGAGCAAGCUAGGGGGCAAUGGAAUUCCCGGUGUAGUGGUGGAAUGCGUAGAUAUUAGGAAGAACACCAGUGGCGAAGGCGGCUUACUGGUCCGGAACUGACGCUGAGGUGCGAAAGCGUGGGGAGCAAACAGG
rnacentral:rRNA from 1 species